rnacentral:rRNA from 1 species
UACGGGGGGGGCAAGCGUUGUUCGGAAUUACUGGGCGUAAAGGGCUCGUAGGCGGCCAACUAAGUCGGAUGUGAAAUCCCCAGGCUUAACCUGGGAACUGCAUCCGAUACUGGAUGGCUUGAGAUUGGGAGAGGGAUGCGGAAUUCCAGGUGUAGCGGUGAAAUGCGUAGAUAUCUGGAGGAACACCGGUGGCGAAGGCGGCAUCCUGGACCAACACUGACACUGAGGAGCGAAAGCCAGGGGAGCAAACGGG